rnacentral:rRNA from 1 species
GACGAACGCUGGCGGCGUGCUUAACACAUGCAAGUCGAGCGGUAAGGCCCUUUCGGGGUACGACGAGCGGCGAACGGGUGAGUAACACGUGGGUGACCUGCCCUCCAGCUCUGGGAGUAAGCCUGGGAAACCGGGUCUAAUACUGGAUAUGACUCCAUGACGCAUGUUGGUGGGGUGGAAAGCCUUGUGCGGCUGAGGAUGGGCCCGCGGCCUAUCAGCUUGUUGGUGGGGUGAGGCCUACCAAGGCGACGACGGGUAGCCGGCCUGAGAGGGCGACCGGCCACACUGGGACUGAGACACGGCCCAGACUCCUACGGGAGGCAGCAGUGGGGAAUCUUGCGCAAUGGGCGAAAGCCUGACGCAGCGACGCCGCGUGAGGGAUGACGGCCUC